GACGAGUGGCGGACGGGUGAGUAAUGCUUGGGAAUCUGGCUUAUGGAGGGGGAUAACGACGGGAAACUGUCGCUAAUACCGCGUAGAGUUGAGAGACGAAAGUGCGGGACCGCAAGGCCGCAUGCCAUAGGAUGAGCCCAAGUGGGAUUAGGUAGUUGGUGGGGUAAAGGCCUACCAAGCCGACGAUCUCUAGCUGGUCUGAGAGGAUGACCGGCCACACUGGGACUGAGACACGGCCCAGACUCC
rnacentral:rRNA from 1 species